GCGGCGGUGGGGGUGUGGGGUGUAGGUCGGCCAGGCCUGCAACGGCUGCCGAGGGUCGUGGGAUGCGCUAGCCGCGUCCCUGCUCAGGCGGAGGGAUCCCGGCCCGCCGCCAGGGUUUCGAGUCCGGGGCCAGGAGUGUGACAAGUUUUCAACUUGGGUGCACACACUGUCCCCGGAAUCCCGCGUUCCAGGGAGGAAGCGCCUUUGACAGCGCGCGCCGGUGCGUGGGGCCCGACGACGUGGGCCCGGGGAUGCGGACCUGGCGGAGAUGCGCGUUGGCUUCGAUUGUAGGCCAUUCCUUUUAGGAGCUGAGAAAGGAUCCAUUUUUACAGCAUUCUCGACCUGUGAUUCUUGGUGGGAGAAACUGUAGUUAUGUGGAUAAAAAUACAGUUAGCAAAAUAAAAAUGACAAUUUUA
rnacentral:antisense_RNA from 1 species